rnacentral:rRNA from 1 species
AUUGAACGCUGGCGGCAUGCUUUACACAUGCAAGUCGAACGGUAACAGGGUGCUUGCACCGCUGACGAGUGGCGAACGGGUGAGUAAUGCGUCGGAACGUGCCGAGUAGUGGGGGAUAACGCAGCGAAAGUUGUGCUAAUACCGCAUACGUACUGAGGUAGAAAGUGGGGGACCUUCGGGCCUCACGCUAUUCGAGCGGCCGACGUCGGAUUAGCUAGUAGGUGAGGUAAAGGCUCACCUAGGCGACGAUCAGUAGCGGGUCUGAGAGGAUGAUCCGCCACGCGGGGACUGAGACACGGCCCAGACUCCUACGGGAGGCAGCAGUGGGGAAGUUUGGACAAUGGGCGAAAGCCUGAUCCAGCCAUGCCGCGUGAGUGAAGAAGGCCUUCGGGUUGUAAAGCUCUUUCAGCUGGAAAGAAAACGCUCGGGAUAAUACUCCGGGCGGAUGACGGUACCAGCAGAAGAAGCACCGGCUAACUACGUGCCAGCCGCCGCGGUAA